UACGUAGGGCGCGAGCGUUGUCCGGAAUUAUUGGGCGUAAAGAGCUCGUAGGCGGCCUGUUGCGUCCGCUGUGAAAUCCCAGGGCUUAACCCUGGGCGUGCAGUGGAUACGGGCAGGCUGGAGGCAGGCAGGGGAGAACGGAAUUCCCGGUGUAGCGGUGAAAUGCGCAGAUAUCGGGAGGAACACCGGUGGCGAAGGCAGCUACCUGGACCAACACUGACACUGAGGCACGAAAGCGUGGGGAGCAAACAGG
rnacentral:rRNA from 1 species